rnacentral:rRNA from 1 species
AGGGCUACACACGUGCUACAAUGGCCAGUACAGAAGGUUGCCAACCCGCGAGGGGGAGCUAAUCCUGAAAAGCUGGUCGUAGUCCGGAUCGCAGUCUGCAACUCGACUGCGUGAAGUCGGAAUCGCUAGUAAUCGCGAAUCAGCAUGUCGCGGUGAAUACGUUCACGGGCCUU